UGGAGGAGAGGGAAGGUGCUG
rnacentral:miRNA from 1 species